GUGCUCACUUUGGCAGCAUGUGCACUAAAACUGAUGUGAUACAGAGAAGAUUAGGGUGACCCCUGCAGCAAGGCUGACAAGCCAAUUUAUAAAGUAUUCCACAUUGUU
rnacentral:snRNA from 1 species